GGCUGCUGACCUGAGGUGCACGUUGUAGGUCUUGAUGUCCACAGUGAAACUCCUUCCUUCUAUCUCACAGCGGUCACUGGUGGCUUAUUCCGGCUGAACCUGGGGCUUCGGGGCCUGGUCGGGGGCUCUGUCAUUGGAGCGUUACUCGGGGUUCCUGCUGGAGCGUUGAUCUCCGGUUUACAGAGUCUCGCGGGGGAGGAUCUUCGUCAGCACAAGCGCCAGGAACGCCGGCAGCUCAGAGAGCGUCAGCUGCAGGAAUGGACCGAGCGGGUGGCAUACACUGACCUCAUUGUGCAGGAGAUUCGAGAAGCCAGUGAAGAGUCCUCUGAGAAGGAGGUGGAGAAAAUCAAUGAGUUGUUACAACACACCAGAACUGCUGCCCCUGAGCAAUGAGGCGAUUAUGGGCGAUCACAUCUACCCGCUUCCCGUGUGUGACCGAUGCCACACUGCGCCCGUCUGCAUGGCUCUCAGGGAUUCUUACAGUGUGUGGAUCCAAGAGGAGCAGGAGGCAGCAAAUUGACAGGGGCCGGACCAGAACGUCUGACCCUUCUGCCCUCUAGUACUCGGGGUCUUCUGUGUGAGAACUGGACCCAGGAUCAAGACAGGACGGAGCUGGCAGAGCUCUAGGACAAUAAAUGUCUUAAUGUGCU